GGACGUCCUGUGAGGGCGCCAGCUGACCACCUUGGGAACACCUCUCACACUUACACUCCCUUGUGACUGCAAGUUGUAGACGGUGCCGUGGCUGCUAGACUUCACCUCCCCCACACCGAGUACUGCAAAACUAUGUGUAUUUGAUCCAUGACAAGCAGUACAGUGUUGUGUGAAACGUGUAUUAAGGGAGGUGGAGUGCAGAGGGGCGUGCCAGCCACUGCGUCUUGCAACACUGACUGAGGCUGACAACAUCAACCUGACCACAGCUGCCACCUGAGGUGUGGUGACCCGUGGCCAAAGGUCUGGCUUAACACAGUGAGGGAUCCGGGUUCGAUUCCAGGAGAAGGGUGGAAACAUUGGGCAUGUUUCUUUACACCGGCUGCAAAUGUUCACCCAUCAGUAAAAAUGGGUACCUAGGGAUCUGCUUCAUGCAGUGCCCUGUUGCUGCUGCUCUUGUUAUCUAUAGUAUGUGGGACGCCUCCAGCCGUCCCUCCAAGUCCACCUCAUGCUGAAAUAAUGAAACACUUAAGGCAGCUUCAACAGGAGUUCGGGGAAACUGAGGUUGCAACAAAGUGGAAACAAGGUCCAUGGUCUUCACCAGCAAGUGAAAGUUAUGAGGACCCUUCUGAACUAGAUGAAGUCAUCCCUGGCUUCCUGGCUGGACUUAACAUGGAAAGCCUCAUCAGAGAUGUGCCCUCCAAGGAUGACGAUGAUGAUAGGAGCACUAGAAAGAAUAGUUAUGGGAUGUACUCAACUGUCCUCCACCCCUCUGCUCUGUUUAACCCCAAGUAUGGAGACCAGGAAGAAUAAAGGGCAAGCACUCCUCCAUCACACAUGAUCCUGAGGAUGAAGAGGAGCCACCAUGGAAGCCUUUUGAUAUCAUGUAGCCACCAGCCCCUAGAGCCCCAAGGCCAGCCAGAGGAACACCAUACUUCAUUGCCUUGCCACCCAUACCUUUGUUCUGUUGAAGAAAAGGGCUACAAAAUUUGUCAAAAGUUCAAUAUUUCUAUAAGAUUUGCAUUCAUUAAUUACUUAGGAUUUAAGGCCGAAAUUACAAAAUUUAUAAUCAAAGGCUGUUAGCAACAAUUUAAAUAUAACUGUUUUAAUAUCUUUCAUAACACCAACUAACUUGUUAAAAUUACAGCAUGUAUAAAUGAUGAAACAAAAGUGAGAUGCAGAAGUCUUUGGUUCGUUUCACCCAUCACUGGACUUGUCUUAAAUCUCUCUACUUCAUAAACCCGUAGAAAUAAUGAACUCCUGUGCCCUUGUGCUUUUUCACCAUCUGUCAGUACAUUUCCAGUAUCUCCACCAAAAUUAACAAAACUAAGAAAAGCUAAUAUUUAAAAAUUCUUUCAUUGAAAUUAUCAUACUUAGAGGGCAUUUUUUGAAAGUGAUCUAGAUUGGCAAGUCCUUAAUCCAAGUACAUCAACAAUAUAAUGAAAUCCAAAAUAAUAUUUAAAAUUUGUGAAAACUUUACCCACCGAUUUUGCCAACAUAGAUGCUCCUCCCAGGGCACCCCCAAUUCCCAAGGCUUUGUUAAGAAUCCCUCCAGAGCCUCCAUGUCCUGGGUAGCCUCCAUGUCCUGGGUAGCCUCCAUGUCCUGGGUAGCUUCCAUAUCCUGGGUAACCCCCACUCGAUUUGGACUUCUAAAAAUUUAAAGUUACAAUCACAAGGCUGUCUUAAGUCAAUCUGAAAAUCCGGUGACUGAAUAUUUAAGGUUGGUCACUGUGUAGGGUGCCUGGGAAUUUUACUUCUAUACUCAUUAUAAGAAAAUGUAAUCUGCUCAUCUCAUGGAAGCUUCUUAAUUCCCACUCAUCCCAUGUGGGCUUUGCAAAAACAGAUUAUCUUAGUUUGUGACAUCCAUUAACUUUUGCAAGAUAAAUGAAUCUAAUGAUGCAGAGGUAAAGAAAGAAUCCUUAUAUAUAUAUGAACAUAAACAUUAGUUCAUUGAUAAUUCUUUUCAUAGCAUGAUCAUGGUAUUAAGGCAACAUUCUUAUAUAUAGCAGACUACAACAAUAUGCUCUGCUAGGUCAAAAAAAUUAAGAUACUCUAAACCAGGUUAUACCUUAGUGCGAUAAGUGUAGAACUCUCAUGUUAUGCUUCAAACUGGCGCUGUAUGACCCUUGUAGGUUCAGCGCUUAUUUUUUAUUAUGAUAAUAACAUGCUUCAAACUCAUACCAAGAAACAUUAUUCUCCUAAAGUGACUCAUGUUUCAUUACUACGGUUCAGGUGUGUACAUAUUAAACAAAAAAUUGAAAAAUCUUUUCUCAAAUAGAGAUAUAUUUAUGA